rnacentral:rRNA from 1 species
CCUACGGGUGGCAGCAGUAGGGAAUCUUCCACAAUGGACGCAAGUCUGAUGGAGCAACGCCGCGUGAGUGAAGAAGGUCUUCGGAUCGUAAAACUCUGUUGUUAGAGAAGAACACGAGUGAGAGUAACUGUUCAUUCGAUGACGGUAUCUAACCAGCAAGUCACGGCUAACUACGUGCCAGCAGCCGCGGUAAUACGUAGGUGGCAAGCGUUGUCCGGAUUUAUUGGGCGUAAAGGGAACGCAGGCGGUCUUUUAAGUCUGAUGUGAAAGCCUUCGGCUUAACCGGAGUAGUGCAUUGGAAACUGGAAGACUUGAGUGCAGAAGAGGAGAGUGGAACUCCAUGUGUAGCGGUGAAAUGCGUAGAUAUAUGGAAGAACACCAGUGGCGAAAGCGGCUCUCUGGUCUGUAACUGACGCUGAGGUUCGAAAGCGUGGGUAGCAAACAGGAUUAGAUACCCCAGUAGUC